CCCGUCCUAUUCGGGCUCCCGCCUCUGUUCAGGACACUGGGUCCCCUAGGAGCCUCCCCAGGCUUAAUGAUUGUCCAGAAGGUGGCUAUAAAGGGAGCUUGGGAGGCAGGGUGGAGGAGGGAGCAGAAAAAACCCAACUCAGCAGAUCUGGAAACUGUGAGAGCGGCAAGCAGGAGCUGUGGUCAGAGGCUGUGCGUCUUGGCUGGUAGGGCCUGCUCUUUUCUACCAUGGCAGCCCAGGGCUAUGGCUAUUAUCGCACUGUGAUCUUCUCAGCCAUGUUUGGGGGCUACAGCCUGUAUUACUUCAAUCGCAAGACCUUCUCCUUUGUCAUGCCAUCAUUGGUGGAAGAGAUCCCUUUGGACAAGGAUGAUUUGGGGCUCAUCACCAGCAGCCAGUCGGCAGCUUAUGCUAUCAGCAAGUUUGUCAGUGGGGUGCUGUCUGACCAGAUGAGUGCUCGCUGGCUCUUCUCUUCUGGGCUGCUCCUGGUUGGCCUGGUCAACAUAUUCUUUUCCUGGAGCUCCACAGUACCUGUCUUUGCUGCCCUCUGGUUCCUUAAUGGCCUGGCCCAGGGGCUGGGCUGGCCCCCAUGUGGGAAGGUCCUGCGGAAGUGGUUUGAGCCAUCUCAGUUUGGCACUUGGUGGGCCAUCCUAUCAACCAGCAUGAACCUGGCUGGAGGGCUGGGCCCUAUCCUGGCAACCAUCCUCGCCCAGAGCUACAGCUGGCGCAGCACGCUGGCCCUGUCUGGGGCACUGUGUGUGGUUGUCUCCUUCCUCUGUCUCCUGCUCAUCCACAAUGAACCUGCUGAUGUUGGACUCCGCAACCUGGACCCCAUGCCCUCUAAGGGCAAGAAGGGCUCCUUGAAGGAGGAGAGCACCCUACAGGAGCUGCUGCUGUCCCCUUACCUGUGGGUGCUCUCCACUGGUUACCUUGUGGUGUUUGGAGUAAAGACCUGCUGUACUGACUGGGGCCAGUUCUUCCUUAUCCAGGAGAAAGGACAGUCAGCCCUUGUAGGUAGCUCCUACAUGAGUGCCCUGGAAGUUGGGGGCCUUGUAGGCAGCAUCGCAGCUGGCUACCUGUCAGACCGGGCCAUGGCAAAGGCGGGACUGUCCAACUAUGGGAACCCUCGCCAUGGCCUGUUGCUGUUCAUGAUGGCUGGCAUGACAGUGUCCAUGUACCUCUUCCGGGUAACAGUGACCAGUGACUCCCCCAAGCUCUGGAUCCUGGUAUUAGGAGCUGUAUUUGGUUUCUCCUCGUAUGGCCCCAUUGCCCUGUUUGGAGUCAUAGCCAAUGAGAGCGCCCCUCCCAAAUUGUGUGGCACCUCCCACGCCAUUGUGGGACUCAUGGCCAAUGUGGGCGGCUUUCUGGCUGGGCUGCCCUUCAGCACCAUUGCCAAGCACUACAGUUGGAGCACAGCAUUCUGGGUGGCUGAAGUGAUUUGUGCAGCCAGCACAGCUGCCUUCUUCCUCCUACGAAACAUCCGCACCAAGAUGGGCCGAGUGUCCAAGAAGGCUGAGUGAAGAGAGUCCAGGCUCCGGAGCACCAUCCCACGGUGGCCUUCCCCCUGCACGCUGUGGGGGAGAAAAGGAGGGGCCUGCCUGGCUAGCCCUGAACCUUUCACUUUCCAUUUCUGCGCCUUUUCCCUCACCUGGGUGGCACUGGAAGUUAUCAGUGGCUAGUGAGGUCCCAGCUCCCCGAUCCUAUGCUCUAUUUAAAAGAUAACCUUUGGCCUUAGACUCCAUUAGCUCCUAUUUCCUGCCUUCAGACAAACAGGAAACUUCUGCAGUCAGGAAGCCUCCUGUACCCUUCUUCUUUUCCUAGGCCCUGUCCUGCCCCCAUCCCCACCAGAAGUGAGGCUAUCCCUGCAGCUGCAGGGCACUAAUGACCCUUGACUUCUGCUGGGCCCUAAGUCCUCUCAGCAGUGGUCGACUGCUGUUGCCAAUACCUCAGACUCCAGGGAAAGAGAGGAGGCCAUCAUUCUCACUGCACCACUAGGCGCAGUUGGAUAUAGCUGGGAAGACAAGAUGACUU
rnacentral:sRNA from 1 species